rnacentral:rRNA from 1 species
CUACGGGGCGCAGCAGUGAGGAAUAUUGCACAAUGGGGGGAACCCUGAUGCAGCAACGCCGCGUGGAGGAUGACGCAUUUCGGUGUGUAAACUCCUUUUAUAUGUCAAGAAAGUGACGGUAGCAUAUGAAUAAGCACCGGCUAACUCCGUGCCAGCAGCCGCGGUAAUACGGAGGGUGCAAGCGUUACUCGGGAAUCACUGGGCGUAAAGGACGCGUAGGCGGGUUGGAAAGUCAGGUGUGAAAUCCUACAGCUUAACUGUAGAACUGCACUUGAAACUUCUAAUCUAGAGUAUGGGAGGGGGAGAUGGAAUUAGUGGUGUAGGGGUAAAAUCCGUAGAUAUCACUAGGAAUACCUAAAGCGAAGGCGAUCUCCUGGAACAUUACUGACGCUAAGGCGUGAAAGCGUGGGGAGCAAACAGGAUUAGAUACCCCGGUAGUC